AUUCCAGAUGUUCAUAGAUAACGUUCUGAAAAACGAAGGAUAUCAACGAGAUUCAUCAGUCAGGUAAAAUAUCAACCAGUUAUAGUAAAACACUCUGAAAAUUUGUAGUACAAUCAAAUCGUGAGUUUGGCGUCGGUAAAUCAAGUGCCCAUCGCACUUUGCGACGCUGUUGAUGGAGCAGUUGUGUUUCAGUACUAGUACAUGUAUAGUAGAACGGAGCGUAUAUAUUGAUAAAGAUUACCUAAAUCGAUGAACAGGUCAUAUAGGGUACGCUACUCCCAGUUAGUACGGUACCCAUAGAACACCCACACCUGACACCCACAGACCCUAGCAAGUGUGUUACUUGGAUAUAAAUGCAUGGAAUGAUGGAAUAUGUUGUUGUUCUAUUUGUUGGUUUUUGAACGAUGAAAUGAUUGAAAGGAACUGUUGGGGGCAUUCGUAUUGUUGUGAGAGAGGUGAAAUUUUUCGACCACAGCAAGACGAACUACCGCGAAAGCACUUGCCAAGAACGUUUUCAUUGAUCACGAACGGAAGUUAGAAGUUCGAAGGCGAUCAAAUACCGCCCUAGUUCUAACCAUAAACUAUGCCAACUAGCAAUUUGCUUACGAAUGUCUUUCGACUAAGUGAGAGGCCACGGGAAACCAAAGUAGGGUCAUGGGGGAAGUAUGGUUGCAAAGCUGAAACUUAAAGGAAUUGACGGAAGGGCACCAUCAGGAGUGGAGCCUGCGGCUUAAUCUGACUCAACACGGGAAAACUUACCUGGUCCUGACACUAGAAAGACUGAUAGCUCUGUCUUGAUUUGGUGGAUGGUGGUGCAUGGCCGUUCUUAGUUGGUGGAGUGAUUUGUCUGGUUAAUUCCGAUAACGAACGAGCCUCUAGCCUAUUAAAUAACACACGGAAUCUUGUCUUCCGUGAGGUUCCCUAAUGGGAUCAAGUGUGUUUAACACUUUGAAACAGAGCAAUUACAGGUCUGUGAUGCCCCUAGAUGUUCGGGGCCGCACGCGCGCUACACCGAGAGACAAAAUGAAUUCCCAGUAAGUGCUAGUCAUUAGCUACUACUGAUUACGUCCCUGCCCUUUGUACACACCGCCCGCCGCUACUACCGAUUGAAUGGUUUAGUGGUAUCAUCUGAGUAGACGGGUAUGAACUUUGGUACGUGCCUGUAUUGCAAUGAAGAUCAAACUUGAUCAUUUAGAGGAAGUAAAAGUCGUAGCAAGGUUUCCGUAGGUGAGCCUGCGGAAG
rnacentral:rRNA from 1 species